GUAUCGGCAAUUCUUGAGCAAUAACAAUUAAGUCGUGGGUUCCAACUAAGAAAAGAAGCGAAGGAUAACAAUAACAAUAAUGACAAAUGGACAAACAUCAGACGAAGGAAAGAAGGUCAGAAAAGGUGCAAUGAUUGGAGGAGCCAGUGGAGCCGCCAUAGGAGUAAUAGGAGGACCAAUUGGAAUAGUUAUUGGAGGAGCAGUAGGGGCUGGAGUAGGUGCAUUAGUGGGGUAUCUGAAAUUUCAACACUCACACUAACAGCACAAGAAAUAUUAGUAUUGUACUGCUUGUACAUGUACAUGUACAUGUAUGUCAAAAUUGUCAAACUGAGAAAUUUAACGAAGAUAUAAAAUAAAUGAAAUAAUUAUUGUACAUGUACAUGUAUGUGAUUGUUUUGUGGUGAAUACGUUUAGUGAAUCCAUUAGUGAAUGCAUUAGUGGUGAUACCCAGAGUCAUUGUAAGCCAUUCCUACUGUCUGGAGAAUGGGCGUCAAUGUUAUAGGCCCAACCAAUGAAAAACAACACGUGAUAUGGAGGACUCUCCCUUGAGGAUUCAUGACAACGCCUAACCAAAUCAGACGUAAAAACAAUUCUUGACACCAAAAAGUGACAAAAUGCCAGGAGGGAAUACCUCAGAUGAAGGAAAUCUGGUAGGAAUUGUGAAGAGAGGAUUUGAAGGAGCAGGAGAAGGUGCAAUAAUAGGAAUAUAUGGUGGACCACCUGGGAUAAUCAUUUGCACUCUUGUUGGGUUUGCUGUUGGAAUUUUUAAGAAUAAUAAAGUUUUCAAUUCUUCCAAGACAUAAUAUCAUGUGUUUUUAAAUGCAUUAUAAAAAUUAAACCAAUUGUAAAGUAAAUACCAUGUACAAUGCAAAAGGCCAUUAAAGGAGCAACGUUCAUUUAUCGACACAACCUACACUGCAAACUACUCCCACUGUAUAAAGAUGGGAGUCAACUUUAAAAUGGGUACAGCCUACAAUAUUACCCGUAAAGUAAACAGCAUUAGGGGAAUACUCAGCAAAAGCUCUCGGAAAGUGAAGUAAAAGCAAACGCUUUGACUUUAAAACAAUCCAGCAAAGUACGAGCCUUAUCAUUCUAAAUUAAAAUGCCAGGACCGAAUACACCAAAAGAAGCAGAGAAUACAGCCAUAGGUGCUGUGUCUGGAGGAGGAACUGGAGCCAUCAUAGGAACAUUUGUUGCUGGACCUGUUGGAACUGUAGUUGGUGGAUUGGUUGGAGCUGGUGUUGGUGCUGUUGUUGGACUCUUUGCAUCAAAAUAGCUUCUUUUUUAAUAUACACAA